UUUUUGUUUAUAAUUUAAAGUUUAAUCUNNCCACUGAUAAUAAUUAAAGGGCUGCAGUAUAUUGACUGUACAAAGGUAGCAUAAUCAUUAGUCUUUUAAUUGAAGACUUGUAUGAAGGAUUUGAUGAGAUAUAAACUGUCUCUUAUUUAAAAUUAGAAAUUAAUUUUUUAAUAAAAAAGUUAAAAUAAAUUUAAAAGACGAGAAGACCCUAUAGAGUUUUAUAAUUAUUUUAAUUGAUUAUUUUUAUAAAUUUUAAUUAAAAAUUAAUAUUAAUUAUUUAAUUGGGGUGAUUGAAAAAUUAAAUAAACUUUUUAUAUAAUUAAACAUAAAUUAAUGAAUAAAUGAUCCAUAAUUUAUGAUUAAAAGAAAAAAUUACCUUAGGGAUAACAGCGUAAUUUUUUUUUUUAGUUCAAAUAAAAAAAAGAGUUUGCGACCUCGAUGUUGGAUUAAGAUAAAAUUUAAAUGUAGAAGUUUAAAAUUUUUGAUCUGUUCGAUCAUUAAAAUCUUACAUGAUCUGAG
rnacentral:rRNA from 1 species